rnacentral:snRNA from 1 species
GCUCAGAACUGGUACGGA